rnacentral:lncRNA from 1 species
UACAAGGAAGAACAGACCUAUGUGCAUUUUGUAGGAAGAAAAAUGUGAAUGGAAAAGGGAGAAAAGGAGAGAAACGGGGGGAAAAUCUGGAUAAUACAUUAAAGUAACCAUAAUUUUGGAGAUGCAUUCGUCUUAUUGAAACUCUGUGUGUAACCAGUGAUACCGGAGUCGGAUAUUUGCUCAAUCAGGAUGCUCAACAAUUUGAGCCUUUACUUUAAAGUUUGGAGCUGCAUAGGUUUGUGGAGAAAGUCGACUCGUGAUAUUUCCUCGGGGCAGUGAUUCUUUUUCACCCCUUUGAAUUCAGAAGGAUGGCACAGACAUCUAAAAAACAGUUAGAAACGCUGCUCAGAUGAAUGAACAGAUGCGGCAGUGUGCACUGCGAAAUGAUAUGACCAACAUCAUCCAUUUUGGGAGGAAGAUUAGCCCUGAGCUAACAUCUGCUGCCAAUCCUCCUCUUUUUGCUGAAGAAGACUGGCCCUGAGCUAACAUCUGUGCCUAUCUUCUUCUACUUUAUAUGUGGGACGCCUACCACAGCAUGGCUUGCCAAGCGGUGCCAUGUCCGCGCCCAGGAUCCCAACUGGUGAACCCCUGGGCUGCUAAAGCGGAAUGUGCACACUUAACCGCUGUGCCACCAGGCCAGCCCAAUAGUUUUUAAUGGUUAUGUAGUAUUCUGAUAUAUGGGUGUGGUAUACAAAAUUGAACGAAUCACCUAUCUUUAUAGGUUGUUUUCAAUUUCUUUUUGUUAUUACAAACAACGCUGCAGUGAAUAAACUCAUAAAUUUAUGGAAUUUCCUCAGGAUGAUUCUCAGAAGUGUAAAUCCUGAGACAAUCUUAUGCCUAUUUGUCAGACAUAUUAUAUCCAUGCAUAUUGCCAAUCACCCCGCAGAAAUUUUUAACAAUUUCCAGUUCCCUCAACGGUGUAUGAGAUUUCUCAUCUCCCCAUACCUUUGCUAACAUUGGUUAUUGCCACCUUUUUAAAUAUUUUCUAAUCUGAUGUAUAAAAUGUCAUAUCAUUAUUUGAAAAUACAUUAUUAUUACUAGUGACCAUAAAACUUUUAAUAUGCUUAUUGAACAUUUAUAUUUUUGUAAAUUUUCUGUUUAUGUUCUUUCCUCCCAUUCUUUUAAAAUUGAAGUGUUUUAUUAGAAAUAAGUUUUCAUGAUUACGAUAGUAACCUUUUAUUUGAUGUAUUUGGAAAAUAUGUGUGUGAAUAUGCUUUGGUUAGAGUUUGAAAAGGGGAAGGAAUAAAUGAGUUUGAAUCCACUGGAGGUUAACAAGAAGACUUUUUCUAAAUCUCAAAUCUGAACCUUUAAAACUUGCUUUAAAACUUUUGCUAAUUUGCCUUUACCAUGGAAUGAAGCCUACAUUCUAAAACUUGGCACGCUGGUCCACCACCGUCUGCUUCAGCUGACCUU